GCACAUGAGAUUGUUUCAGCAAAAAUUGGAACAAUACAGAGAAUAUUUGAAUGGUCCCUGAACAAGCAUUGUACCAAAAUUCACUUGAAGCUUUAAAAAAAAGU
rnacentral:snRNA from 1 species